GACGUAGGGUGCGAGCGUUGUCCGGAUUUAUUGGGCGUAAAGAGCUCGUAGGCGGCUCGUCGCGUCGACCGUGAAAACCCGCGGCUUAACUGCGGGCUUGCGGUUGAUACGGGCGGGCUAGAGUUCGGUAGGGGAGACUGGAAUUCCUGGUGUAGCGGUGAAAUGCGCAGAUAUCAGGAGGAACACCGGUGGCGAAGGCGGGUCUCUGGGACGGUACUGACGCUGAGACGCGAAAGCGUGGGGAGCGAACAGA
rnacentral:rRNA from 1 species